rnacentral:rRNA from 1 species
GAUGAACGCUGGCGGCGUGCCUAAUACAUGCAAGUCGAACGCUGGAGAUCUAGCUUGCUAGAUCGAAGGAGUGGCGAACGGGUGAGUAAUACAUAAGCAACCUACCCACGAAGACUGGGAUAAUCUCUGGAAACGGGGACUAAUACCGGAUAGGUAAUCGGAAGGCAUCUUCUGGUUAUUAAAGGUUAAAACACUGGUGGAUGGGCUUAUGGCGCAUUGGUUAGUUGGUGAGGUAACGGCCCACCAAGACGAUGAUGCGUAGCCGGCCUGAGAGGGUGAACGGCCACAUUGGGACUGAGACACGGCCCAGACUCCUACGGGAGGCAGCAGUAGGGAAUUUUCGGCAAUGGGGGCAACCCUGACCGAGCAACGCCGCGUGAGUGAAGACGGCCUUCGGGUUGUAAAGCUCUGUUGUAAGGGACGAACGGUAGAUAGAGAAUAUCUAAGUGACGGUACCUUACCAGAAAGCCACGGCUAACUACGUG